AGGUCAUUUCAUAGAGGGCUUGUGAGGCUAUGAAACCAAGAGCUCUUAACAUUAUGACCAAAGAUUGAAGUUCUCCAUAGGAUACCAUAGUCACUCAAUAAUGUCAUGUUAUCCUAAGGAGAUAUAAGG
rnacentral:snoRNA from 1 species